GGAGUCUGGGCCGUGUCUCAGUCCCAAUGUGGCCGUCCGCCCUCUCAGGCCGGCUACUGAUCGUCGCUUUGGUGGGCCGUUACCCCGCCAACUGGCUAAUCAGACGCGGGUCCAUCUCAGACCACCGGAGUUUUUCACACCGCUCCAUGCGGAGCUGUGCGCUUAUGCGGUAUUACCAGCCGUUUCCAGCUGCUAUCCCCCGGUCUGAGGCAGGUUCCCCACGCGUUACUCACCCGUCCGCCACUAUGCUGCCGCUGAUUCUGCCGAAGCUUCCUCUGCUGCAGCACCGUUCGACUUGCAUGUGUUAGGCACGCCGCCAGCGUUCAUC
rnacentral:rRNA from 1 species